rnacentral:rRNA from 1 species
AUUGAACGCUGGUGGCAGGCUUAACACAUGCAAGUCGAACGGUAACAGGAAUUAGCUUGCUAAUUUGCUGACGAGUGGCGGACGGGUGAGUAAUGCUUGGGAAUCUGGCUUAUGGAGGGGGAUAACUACGGGAAACUGUAGCUAAUACCGCGUAAAAUCUUCGGAUUAAAGGGUGGGACUUUCGAGCCACCUGCCAUAAGAUGAGCCCAAGUGGGAUUAGGUAGUUGGUUAGGUAAAGGCUGACCAAGCCGACGAUCUCUAGCUGGUCUGAGAGGAUGACCAGCCACACUGGAACUGAGACACGGUCCAGACUCCUACGGGAGGCAGCAGUGGGGAAUAUUGCACAAUGGGGGGAACCCUGAUGCAGCCAUGCCGCGUGAAUGAAGAAGGCCUUCGGUUUGUAAAGUUCUUUCGGUGACGAGGAAGGUUGAUAGGUUAAUAGCCUAUCAAAUUGACGUUAAUCACAGAAGAAGCACCGGCUAACUCCGUG